UCUUCAUUUUCUAGUUUGUAACUUCUGUACUCUGCUAUCUGCAUUUCAUGUUUGGAUGAAACAUUUUUUGGGGAUUCAGUCGUCUCAUUCUCUGGAAUUGAAUCCAGCAUGCCCUUCCUAAUAUGCUUCUUGCAAUGACUAAGCUGAAAAGUCUUGGUUAAUAUGAUGGGUGUUCCAGAGAAGCACCCUGUAACAUAAACCUCAAU
rnacentral:misc_RNA from 1 species